rnacentral:rRNA from 1 species
GACGAACGCUGGCGGUGUGCUUCACACAUGCAAGUCGAACGAGGUAGCAAUACCUAGUGGCGGACGGGUGAGUAACGCGUGGGAAUCUGCCUUUAGAUGGGGGAUAACGGGUCGAAAGACUCGCUAAUACCGCAUAUGACGAAAGUUGAAAGGAGUAAUCCGUCUAAAGAUGAGCCCGCGUCCGAUUAGCUAGUUGGUAGAGUAAAAGCCUACCAAGGCGACGAUCGGUAGCUGGUCUGAGAGGAUGAUCAGCCACAAUGGGACUGAGACACGGCCCAUACUCCUACGGGAGGCAGCAGUGGGAAUUUACGCAAUGGGCGAAAGCCUGACGUAGCGACACCGCGUGAGCGAAGAAGCCCCUUGGGGUGUAAGCUCUGUCAGCUGGAACGAAAAAAGUGACGGUACCAGCAGAGGAAGCAUCGGCUAACUACGUGCCAGCAGCCGCGGUAAAGUAGUCGUG